UAAAAUAACCGAUCUUAAAAGUACUUUUAAGAUCGGUUAUUUUAUGACCGAUUUUAAAAGUGCUACUUUUAAAAUCAGUUAUUUCA
rnacentral:miRNA from 1 species